AACGAACGCUGGCGGCAGGCUUAACACAUGCAAGUCGAACGCACUCUUCGGAGUGAGUGGCAGACGGGUGAGUAACGCGUGGGAACCUACCUAGUGGUUCGGAAUAACACAGGGAAACUUGUGCUAAUACCGUAUGUGCCCUUCGGGGGAAAGAUUUAUCGCCAUUAGAUGGGCCCGCGUCGGAUUAGCUAGUUGGUGAGGUAAUGGCUCACCAAGGCGACGAUCCGUAGCUGGUCUGAGAGGAUGAUCAGCCACACUGGGACUGAGACACGGCCCAGACUCCUACGGGAGGCAGCAGUGGGGAAUAUUGGACAAUGGGCGCAAGCCUGAUCCAGCCAUGCCGCGUGAGUGAUGAAGGUCUUAGGGUUGUAAAGCUCUUUCAGCGGGGAAGAUAAUGACGGUACCCGCAGAAGAAGCCCCGGCUAACUUCGUGCCAGCCGCCGCCGUAAUAC
rnacentral:rRNA from 1 species